AAUGUUAAAAUUAACUUUAUUACCCUUUGCCGUGACACUUUAAAUAUGUAGGUGCAUCCAAAUAUAGUGCUGCAAAUCAUCUGCAAACUGACUGGCCAUGAUUUGGAACAAGUUUUUACAAGCUAAAAUACAAAUCAGAGCAAAAACAAAGCCAUCACAUUAAAGGAUCUGUGUGAAGAGCUCAGAAACAGGAUCGUUUUGAGAGCUGGGGAGGAAGAAUAAUGUCUGAUGUAUUGAAGGUCCCCAAGAGAACAGCGGCCUCCAUAAUUUUUAAAUAGAAGAAGUUUAAAACGGUCAGCGCUGCGUCGUAAGCACCAUAAGCCUAAAGCUGGGCACUCACUGUGUGAUUUUAAUAGUCCUUCACAAUUGUUGGUUGUUGACAGACUGAACAUGAUGACAGUGCCACACUGUGGGAUCUCAGUUGUCUUUAAUUCUGCAGUACAGCAAGAUGUGAAAAGUAUUCAAUUGUAUUAUUUUCUAAAUGCACUGUAUUUCCUCUGCUCGGAUCCCAGUCUGCUUCCCAGAGCUCUGCUUUUAUCUUAACCAGAGGAAUGUGGGCUCAUACGCUAUCAGUUGGUAAACAUAACACUGUUUUUAGCUCUCCCUCCUACCCCUUCUCUGUUUGUCUAGGCCGGUCAGACUGACCACUGGGGGUUGUGGCCGUCAUUGCAGUUGCGUCAGAAAUGACCAGGUCCUACAGUGACACAAGAGAGCAAUCAAUACAAACGCCUUGACACCGGCUCACCUCCUAAUGUCCAUUUAAAAGAAAGAGCAGUGGUAGGCUUUCAAACUGGCGUCAGCGGAUGUGUGUCUAGCCUCAGUGUGAGAUCUACAAAUGCAUUUUUUCAUGAUCCAUGAGUCAGGUCUGUGAGUGCUGGGAUGAUGUAAGGUGAUGACGAAGAUGUGUGACAGUACUGCCGACGCUGGUAUAUGUGUAUGUCUCUGGAGGUUAAAAUAAAACUCGAGGUGUUCAGCCCCAGUCCGGUUUGAAAGGUUUGGGGACUAAAGCAUGUGGCACAUGUUAUGGCGUCUGUUUAAUUUGGAUGCUUCUACCAGCUUCAUUUUGUGCCAAAUGUUUGAUUGGAAACAGCUUUUGAUGUCAACAACAGAAGAUAUGGGGAACCUUUUUCUUCACUGUUAACAUUUGGUGACGUCAGCAUAGCAUUCUGUCUGUUUAUCUGCACUCAGGUAUGUGUUUGUGUGUGUGUUUGUGUGUGUGUGUGUGUGUGUGGCCUCUACACUGACACUCUCACCAUUGGAGCCAAAAUGCCAGAGCCCCUGUUAAUCUUAUCAUCACAAGUAAGUCUCUUAACUCCAGUCCUGAUAAUCUUAUUAUACAGAGCAUCGAGGGAGAUUCCCUUUUUUGGGAAGCGACAGGUGCACACUGAAGGAGGCAUUAUUGAUCAAUUACAGUCCUCUUUUCAAUUAAAACAACUAUGCAGCCAGUAAAUGACUAGAGUGAAAUGUGACAGAUGCUUUUCUUUUGUAAGUGUAUCUGCUGCUGUGGCUCUGACAGAUCAGGCGGAGGAGGGGUGGCUAAGACGGAGCGCUCGCAGUGACAUCAGGCUUUAUCUGCUCACAGCUCUCUGACGCCAGCCCAGCCAGUUCUCACGUGUCGAGGAGAGGAGAUGAUUAACACCGGCUGCUUUAUUGCGUGCACACUUACGCACAAACGCUCACACAUAGUCAGACAUGCUGAUGCAAACAAACACACCUCGGCUGGAUGCAGCAUCUCUGAGUCCGGGACGACAGACAGCACCACACCAAAUUAUAUUAAACUGAGAACAGCAGACUUAUUCAAGCAAUUAAUUUUAUUUACAUGAAAAGGGAUAACCCAGAAGAAAAAAUGUAAUCUCUUAAGCAAAAAAUUUAUUAAUGGCUUAAUUGCUUUUCCUAGGCAGUGAUGAGAUUAAAAUGAAAAUGCCUUCUGCUUUUGUCAUAUUUCUCAUGAAAAUUAUACAUGUAUACCGUUUAAACAUAUGGAUCGUUAGUGUUCGUUUGUUUUUGAAAUGAAAGACUGAAUAGAAAUACAGUAAAAACAGUAUAAUACUGUUAGAUUAAUUUAUUCCUGUGAUGAUAAAGUUGAAGCAUCAUUACUCACAUGACACUAUGCUGAUCUUCUCCAGUAUAAAACAGUUGUGCUGCUGAAUAUUUCUUUUGUGAAAACCUUUCCUUUUUUCCAGUACUCAAUACAAAAUUCUAAAGAACAGCGUAUACCUGAAAUCGAAAUAUUUAAUAACAUCAUAAAUACCAUAACUUUCACUUUUGGUCUUUAAAUGCAAAACAAACAAAUAUAAAAAUAAACUCACUGACCCCAGAUUUUCUAGAGAUUCCUUUGGAAUCUGAUUCAAAUUUUGUCAGAUUUGCCAGAAUACCAUUCAGCAUAAAUACAUAUGUAACCAAGUAACCGUUUCUACUCCAUUUGAAGGUAAUAUUUUCCUCAUUAAGAACUAAUGGUAAAUAAUAUCUUCCUAUUUGUUUAAAACCUCAUAUCAGCUAACAAAUUCAUUAAAUUGUUGCUUUAAGGAAAAACACCUGAGACAAAGUUGGCUAUUAAAUUGACUAUUGAUGUGAAGAAGCUAUAACAUUUUCCACUGUUUAAUUUACCUAUGAUAUUUUCCUUGAAUGUGCCAUAUGGAGCACUUCAUCAGCUGAAUCAUCUGAAAGGUGUCGUCUCAGCUCAUUUACCACUGUUACCCUCUCUCUGUCCCAUCCUUUCCUCCUUCAGGUCACCCCCCUGUGCUUUAGAAAUGACCUCACAAAACACGUGGAUGAGUUAAAGCAUCCCACUGCACUUUCCUCAGAAAAUGUAAUACACAUGCAUUAUAUUAACUCUCCAGCACACUGAGUGCAUCCAAAUAGGAAGUAGCGAGGGUGUUGAAAGGUCACGGUUUCACAAUACUUCACAAACAACUGUUGAAGCUGUGAAGAAUGAAGAAUGUAUGCAUGCCUAAAUGGUUCCCGCUUUUAAAAGGAAACACUUUGACAUUAGACAGAAAGCUGGCUGCUCCAUUACUUUUGACCUUGUUUAGUCAAAUGCCAGAGAGUUCCUUGGAAGAUGAAAUGUCCUUUAAAUGCCCUAAAGGCAGAUAGAUUGAUUUCCAGAGAGACUUAGCUGUGAUUCAUGUCUUUAGUUGGGCUCUGCUCUUGUGUUUGAAGGCCAGACCUCUCGAAGCUGUCAGGCCUGUGUGUCAGCUUAUCAAUCACUGCUCAUAAUCUUCUCAAAGAUGCAUUGAUUAUGAGGUCAGAGACUCGCUCUCCGUGACCCUCACAGCUGGAAGUUAUUUUAGCCUGUACCUCAGGGUCUUUAAAUGGGUUUUCAGGGUUGAAGAAUGUUAGUCAAAAUGGUGUCAGUUCACCAUCUGUGAGCUUUAGAGAGACUUCCUCUGCAUGAUAAUGUGCUACUGUUGUACACGGAAUGAGAAGUUAAAGAGAAACUUCUUAAAAAAUAAAAUUAAAUAAAUAAAUAAAUCAACCUGACCAACCCUAAAAUUUUGAAUAAUUAAAAUUAUAAGUUGAAAAGGGGUUCUUUGGCUUGUAACAAUAGCAAAACCCUUUUUAGUGCUAAAUAGAACCCUUUUUAUAAGAUUCCAUAAAGAACCAUGCUUUGAAAAUGCUAUGUAGGACCUUAUUGGUGUUAUAAAUAACCUUUUUAAAGGGGGGGGGGUGAAAUGCUAUUUCAUGCAUACUGAGUUUUUUACACUGUUAAAGAGUUGGAUUCCCAUGCUAAACA